rnacentral:rRNA from 1 species
UACGAAGGGGGCUAGCGUUGCUCGGAAUGACUGGGCGUAAAGGGCGCGUAGGCGGAAUGCUUUGUCGGGCGUGAAAUUCCAGGGCUCAACCUUGGGGCUGCGUUCGAGACGGGUAUUCUUGAGUUCGGAAGAGGGUCGUGGAAUUCCCAGUGUAGAGGUGAAAUCGUAGAUAUUGGGAAGAACACCGGUGGCGAAGGCGGCGACCUGGUCCGAGACUGACGCUGAGGCGCGAAGCGUGGGGAGCAAACAGG